AAUUAAGUAAAUAUCACAGCUUUUACCAACAGAUAUCUGAUUUUCUCCAGACUCUGCACUCUGUAUGCAGUGAGAGUUGGGGUCCUGGAUUUAGGGAGAGCCCCUAGGAGAGAAAGGCUGUCUGUUGUUCUGACUGCACUCUCUGCCCAGAGAAUGAGAUUUCCACUGAGACAGAUCAUAAAACUGAACUGGGUAAGAAAUUACAGAACUCUAACAGAGAAACUGAUGGCUUCAUACAACUGCUAACAAAAGAUCAAGAUCAAGAGUUGAUUGAGUUGACUCUCGUGUGUUCUUGGCUCUGAAACGGUAUAUAACCAUGCUGUGAAUCGCGCUUCCACAGAGGACCCUCCUCCCCAGUGGAAACUGCACUUCCAGGCUAGUCCGCAGCUUGGCUCAGGGAAAUAUCACCUUACCUUUC